GACGAACGCUGGCGGCGUGCUUAACACAUGCAAGUCGAACGGUAAGGCCCUUCGGGGUACACGAGUGGCGAACGGGUGAGUAACACGUGGGUGAUCUGCCCUGCACUUCGGGAUAAGCCUGGGAAACUGGGUCUAAUACCGGAUAGGACCCUGGGAUGCAUGUCCUGGGGUGGAAAGCUUUUGCGGUGUGGGAGGGGCCCGCGGCCUAUCAGCUUGUUGGGGGGGUGAUGGCCUACCAAGGCGACGACGGGUAGCCGGCCGGAGAGGGUGACCGGCCACACUGGGACGGAGAGACGGCCCAGACUCCUACGGGAGGCAGCAGUGGGGAAUAUUGCACAAUGGGCGCAAGCCUGAUGCAGCGACGCCGCGUGAGGGAUGACGGCCUUCGGGUUGUAAACCUCUUUCAGCACCGACGAAGCGCAAGUGACGGUAGGUGCAGAAGAAGGACCGGCCAACUACGUGCCAGCCGCCGCCGUAA
rnacentral:rRNA from 1 species